UGUUUAAGAUCAAAGUGAGCGGUCUGCUGCUCUAUUGAUGUAAAAUGAGUUUGAGCUUGUAGUAUAAUGCCACUCCUUCUGAGCCCCUCCCACCCACUUCAAGUCCUGCCCCCUUUCAGGUUAAAGUGAAACUCAAACUGAAAAGCUUAACAGCUCACCUGUCUAUCAGUGUUUAGUGUCAGGUGUGGAGUGCAAAUUCUUUGUGCUGAACAAACUAGGGACGCUGCAGACAGAGAAACAGUCCAUCCUGGUCCUCCUGUUACUCACAACUUGUCGAGAGUCGUUCUGGAACACGUCUUGUGACCGAGGCCAGUACUACGCAUCAGGUUUGAUCUCAUUCAGGUGAAGGUAGAAAGUGUGUGUGAGCUGAUGUGGAUGUGAAUUCAGCAG